UAGUUUGCAUAUUGAACAGGUGCUACCUUCCAUUCAGCUUUUGGUUUGACAUGAUUUAUGUGGGAUGGGAUGUGAAAUGAAGGUGAUUUUCUUCUAAGUAAAAAGAUCACUCUAGCUUACAACUCCUUCAGGAAAAUCACCGUCAUUCAAGAUCCCAUCCCAGAUCGCAAGGACAAAUCCUGGCAUCACGUCAGACCAAAGCUAGAUGCACCUGUUCAAUAUACAAACUCCGUGCUGUCGUGUUUAGAUGAGAUUGGACGUGGUUUGUAGCCGAUAAAGACUGCUGCGUCGCUGGCUGAUCUACUAUUUAUCUACAAGGAAUAUAAUGUCCCCUUAGGAUGCUGAUAUUGUCUUCGUUUGUACUGUAAAUUCUGGCCAGCUGGGUUU
rnacentral:lncRNA from 1 species